UUUAUAAUGUAUAAUUAUAUGAAAAAAUACUUUUUCUUUUGAUUCUUAAAAUUACAUAUAUCUAUGUAGAUUUAAAACAAAACCAUCAUCUCAACCAUGGACAAAUAACAAUCAAUCCUCUACUUUUCAAACUGCUGCUAGUACAACAGCUGGAGUUGCCAUUGGGUCUGUUAUAGGCCAAGCAAUUGGAAGCAUACUUGCUGGCAAUGUAGGAUAUGUAUCUUCUGCCAAUACAGACCCUAAAAGUAAUUCUACAAAUACGCAAGAAUUAUGUAUUCCCGAAAUACGAAAAUUCUUUGAGUGCGUUUCGAGAAAUGCAGAUCUGGAUACAUGCAAAACUUAUCAUGAUAUGUGGAUGAAAUGUCAAAAUGUAUACAAACAACAAAAUUAAUCGGUCAAAUGAAAUGGUAUUUCUAAAAGAAUGAAGUAAGAAGCUCUAAUCUUCGUUAUGAUAUAAUCAAGGAUAUAUAAGAAAUUGAUGAUUUAAGAACAUUAUUUAUUAACUUAACGCGUUUGUUAAAGAUGAUUUUAUACUCGACCAAAAGAGGCAGUUAAAUGUGCAAGAAAAGAAAUAUGGUAGACUAUCUUUUUUCUGUAUUUAAGACGCGCAUCACCACAAAACCUGCAACAGUAGCAACUGCAAUUCCAAGACCAGCUUUCCACCAGACGAUUGAAUCUCCUUGUAAUAAUCCAAAUUGAUUUAUAUGUCUGUAAAAUAAAACAUUAUUUAUCUCAAGAA